AUACUACUUCCUCCGAUCGGUAUUACUUGUCUCAAAUUUGCCCAAAUACGGAUGUAUCUAUGUGUAGAAAGCGUUUAGAUACAUGUAAUAUUUGGUCAAGUAAUUCCGAUCGGAGGGAGUAGUAU
rnacentral:pre_miRNA from 1 species